CUUACGGCCAUAUCACGUUUAAACACCAGAUCUCGUACGAUCACCGAAGUUAAGCAAAGUCGAGUAUGGUCAGUAUCUAGAUGGGUGACCG